rnacentral:lncRNA from 1 species
AAUCCCAAAGCCAAAAACUCAGAAUUAAUGAUGGAAAAAUACCUCGACGACACGAUUCCCGGAAAAACGCAAUCUCUGUUGCCAAACAUACUCGGCCAAGAUGAUGCUACAUGGCCACACAAAUAAGCCGUAGUCUUCUUUCAUGUUCUGCUCAUCGUCAACUAAUGAACAAAGUUAAAAAUUUAUACUCCAAAACUUCUGUUUUUUUUUUUUUGCAGAGAAUUUUGAUGAAAAAUUGAGUAACCUCGAUUAUCGAUAUAGAGAAGGCGGUUCUCUCAGAGUCGCCGAAAGCAUGACGAGAUACAGUCGUCAUUUGCUGAUCGGCCAGCGCUUCU